AGUGAACGCUGGCGGUAGGCCUAACACAUGCAAGUCGAACGGCAGCACAGUAAGAGCUUGCUCUUACGGGUGGCGAGUGGCGGACGGGUGAGGAAUACAUCGGAAUCUACUUUUUCGUGGGGGAUCACGUAGGGAAACUUACGCUAAUACCGCAUAAGCCCUACGGGUGAAAGCAGGGGAUCUUCGGACCUUGCGCGAUUGUAUGAGCCGAUGUCGGAUUAGCUAGUUGGCGGGGUAAAGGCCCACCAAGGCGACGAUCCGUAGCUGGUCUGAGAGGAUGAUCAGCCACACUGGAACUGAGACACGGUCCAGACUCCUACGGGAGGCAGCAGUGGGGAAUAUUGGACAAUGGGCGCAAGCCUGAUCCAGCCAUACCGCGUGGGUGAAGAAGGCCUUCGGGUUGUAAAGCCCUUUUGUUGGGAAAGAAAAGCAGCAGGUUAAUACCCCGCUGUUCUGACGGUACCCAAAGAAUAAGCACCGGCUAACUUCGUG
rnacentral:rRNA from 1 species